GUGUUCCCUUUGGCAGUGCAUAUGCUAAAAUUGGAACAAUACAGAGAAGAUUAGCAUGGUACUAGCAAACCAAAUUCAACAGUAUGUUACAAGGAUUAU
ensembl:snRNA U6 U6 spliceosomal RNA